UUUUUUAUUAUGAUUAUUGUAGUUGAGCAGUAAUAUGCAUUGAUGAUAGCGAAUAAUGAAAAGAUUUAUUGAUAGAAAAUUUAGAGAGAAUUGUUAAUUAUUCUGAAGUUAUUAUCUCUUGGCCUAAUUGGAUUAUUAGUCCGUGGUGAUAGAGUAUUUGAAUGAUAACCAAGGAAGAAAAAAUCGAUAAUAUUGACGAAAUAUCCCCGAUAUUAUCGUCUUUUUUUUAAAAUCCGAAAUUUUUUUAACUAUCCAACUGAUUUUCAUCAAAAUAUCACGAUAUUAUCAAUAAUAUCAAUAAUAUCACAAUAUUUUUGAAAUUAUCGAUAAUAUCACAAUAUAAUAUUCAAAAAUACUUAAAAAUGUUGAGAAAUCUCAACACAUACUACACUUGAUCAAAGCCCCCAAAGG
rnacentral:lncRNA from 1 species